CGGUAAUUCCAGCUCCAAUAGCGUAUACUAAAGUUGUUGCAGUUAAAAAGCUCGUAGUUGGAUUUCUGCGGGGACGGAGCGGCCGGACGCAACUUGCGUCUCGAGCUAGCGCUUUCCCCGCAUCCUGCCGCGAACCGUGCUACCAUUAGUUUGGUGGCGCCGGGGAUCGGCUCGAUUACUUUGAGAAAAAUAGAGUGUUCAAAGCAGGCCACACGCCUUGAAUAAGUUAGCAUGGAAUAAUGACUAAGGACUUUGGUUCUUUUCGUUGGUGUUCGGGACUGAAGUAAUGAUUGAUAGGGACAGUUGGGGCGGUCCGUAUUCCAAAGCGAGAGGUGAAAUUCUUAGACCUUCGGAAGACGAACAGCUGCGAAAGCGUUCCGCAAGGAUGUUCCCUUUGAUCAAGAACGAAAGUUGGGGGAUCGAAGACGAUCAGAUACCGUCGUAGUCUCAACUAUAAACUAUACCAGCUAGGGAUCGGCCAACGUUUAACUUUAUCGACUUGGUCGGCACCUUAUGAGAAAUCAAAGCAUCUGGGUUCCGGGGGGAGUAUGGUCGCAAGGCUGAAACUUAAAGGAAUUGACGGAAGGGCACCACCAGCCGUGGAGCCUGUGGCUUAAUUUGACUCAACACGGGAAAACUUACCAGGUCCAGACAUAGGAAGGAUUGACAGAUUGAUAGCUCUUUCUUGAUUCUGUGGGUGGUGGUGCAUGGCCGUUUUUAGUCGGUGGAUGUGAUCUGUCUGCUUAAUUGCGUUAACGGACGAGACCCCAGCCUGCUAAAUAGCGCGGCCGAGCUUUGCUCGGUGCGAGCUUCUUAGAGGGACCAUGAUGCGCGAUAGCACAAGGAAGUUUGGGGCAACAACAGGUCUGUGAUGCCCUUAGAUGUUCUGGGCCGCACACGGGCUACACUGGCGCCUGCAACGAGCAUAUCAGCUGGCCCGAGAGGGUCUUGGCUAAUCUUUGGAACCGGCGCCGUGCUUGGGAUUGACCAUUGCAAUUGUUGGUCAUGCAACGAGGAAUGCCUUGUAAACGCGAGUCAUCAGCUCGCAUUGAAUACGUCCCUGCUCCUUGUACACACCGCCC
rnacentral:rRNA from 1 species